UAGCGGUGAGCAGUAUGGGCAG
rnacentral:misc_RNA from 1 species